GGGCGGGUAGCGAAGUGGUAAAGCGUUCUCUAAGCGUAAUCAGCGUUGAGUUUCUUCUAGCGUUUAGCGAAAGAUCCAGGUUCAAGCCCUGGCUCGUCCA